CCACGCAGAAACCCUCCUAGACACUUCUGUAAGUACUUUCGAAACGAGGGAAGCUUUUUUCUGCCAAAAUAAUAAUCUUGGGAAAACAAAAAGCACAGAAUGGUUUGCAGAUGCAAUCUCUUUACCGAACACGUACAGCGAACGCCCACUGCGCGUGGUCGCCGCGAUGGAGUCCCCGAACCAGCUUCUUGCGUGAAAGGCAUUCGCUGAGAGCA
rnacentral:lncRNA from 1 species